rnacentral:rRNA from 1 species
GACGAACGCUGGCGGCGUGCUUAACACAUGCAAGUCGAACGAAGAGCGAUGGAAGCUUGCUUCUAUCAAUCUUAGUGGCGAACGGGUGAGUAACGCGUAAUCAACCUGCCCUUCAGAGGGGGACAACAGUUGGAAACGACUGCUAAUGCCGCAUACGAUCUGACCUCGGCAUCGAGGAUAGAUGAAAGGUGGCCUCUAUUUAUAAGCUAUCACUGAAGGAGGGGAUUGCGUCUGAUUAGCUAGUUGGAGGGGUAACGGCCCACCAAGGCGAUGAUCAGUAGCCGGUCUGAGAGGAUGAACGGCCACAUUGGGACUGAGAAACGGCCCAGACGCCUACGGGAGGCAGCAGUGGGGAAUCUUCCGCAAUGGACGAAAGUCUGACGGAGCAACGCCGCGGGAGUGAUGACGGCCUUCGGGUUGUAAAGCUCUGUUAAUCGGGACGAAAGGCCUUCUUGCGAAUAGUUAGAAGGAUUGACGGUACCGGAAUAGAAAGCCACGGCUAACUACGUG